UACGAAGGGGGGCUAGCGUUGCUCGGAAUCACUGGGCGUAAAGGGUGCGUAGGCGGGUUCUUAAGUCAGGGGUGAAAUCCUGGAGCUCAACUCCAGAACUGCCUUUGAUACUGAGAGUCUUGAGUUCGGGAGAGGUGAGUGGAACUGCGAGUGUAGAGGUGAAAUUCGUAGAUAUUCGCAAGAACACCAGUGGCGAAGGCGGCUCACUGGCCCGAUACUGACGCUGAAGCACGAAAGCGUGGGGAGCAAACAGGG
rnacentral:rRNA from 1 species